GAUGAACGCUGGCGGCGUGCCUAAUACAUGCAAGUCGAGCGAACAGACGAGGAGCUUGCUCCUCUGACGUUAGCGGCGGACGGGUGAGUAACACGUGGAUAACCUACCUAUAAGACUGGGAUAACUUCGGGAAACCGGAGCUAAUACCGGAUAAUAUAUUGAACCGCAUGGUUCAAUAGUGAAAGACGGUUUUGCUGUCACUUAUAGAUGGAUCCGCGCCGCAUUAGCUAGUUGGUAAGGUAACGGCUUACCAAGGCGACGAUGCGUAGCCGACCUGAGAGGGUGAUCGGCCACACUGGAACUGAGACACGGUCCAGACUCCUACGGGAGGCAGCAGUAGGGAAUCUUCCGCAAUGGGCGAAAGCCUGACGGAGCAACGCCGCGUGAGUGAUGAAGGUCUUCGGACCGUAAAACUCUGUUAUUAGGGAAGGACAAAUGUGUAAGUAACUAUGCACGUCUUGACGGUACCUAAUCAGAAAGCCACGGCUAACUACGUG
rnacentral:rRNA from 1 species